UAAUAAAAAAAAAAUACACUUUUGUAAAUUUAUUUUUAAAACUUUUAGACUUUUCCCACAAUAUGCAAUAUAACAUUGUGCAAAAUUUGGAGUUAUAUGUAUAAAUUUGUAUAAAUCUAUUAGCUGAGAAUAUCUUCAUUACUUUUGGAUUUUAUUUAAUUCAAGAUUUAACAUGGAGGGAGCAGUUGGUGAGCACCUUAUUAAUAUCAGUUUAAAGGUAAUCGAGGUAGGACAUCGCGUGGGUGAGAUAGCGAAAAACGUUAAGGACAACCAAUUAACAUGGCCUAUUUGCAAAUGUGCUGCACUAUUUGUCUUUGGCAUUAUCCUGACCAAGCGUCUUGAACGUGUAGUUCCCCUCGUCGUGCAAAAUUAAUGUGGUUGCAUGGGAUUUUGUCCAUUGGGUGCUAAUAUAAAUGUACACUGCUAAAUUACACGAGUAAGUAUAAUGUCUUUGUAUGUUGGAGAAUAGAUUUAAACUUGCAAUAAAAAAUAGUGUUGUUUUAUAAAGUCA